ACUCAUAAAUGUACCUAUCAUAGUAUUCGUAGUAAGACCCCGACUGAGUGAGGAAGGUCACCGAACAGCCGCAAUCAUCUGUCCCUGAGUGAAGGAAAGAAGCCCAUCAGAAUAGUUGCUCCCAUACGUAAUGAUUAAAAGGUGUUGUUAUCCGGUACCAUAAAAGCUUUUACUUUUACCGUCACAUUCCCAACUUCCGAUUGAUUGUAUGACAUUGGCGAUGAGUUGUGAAGAUGAGGAUAGUGAGGAAGAACGCAACAGAGGCAUUAAGCCACCACCUACUAGAAGUCCUGGCUCUUGGAUGUUGAUACUGCUUCCCUAAAAUCAGUUGAAAAUCCAAGUAUGGCAAAGAUAUGAAGAAUUUCUCAGCCCUUCAGAAUAGAUUUGAACUGGGAAUCUAUUCCCAUAUUAUGUACUACGAUAACAUUAGAUAGAAAUGGACUUAACUGAGACUGAGAGGUUGGAAAGUUUGCUAAGGUAGACUUUACCUUACGAAAGUCGUGAACACUGGACUGCUGCU